GCCAGAGCCCCGUCUGGGCUCCCCUCCAUUUUCCCAGCCAGCUCCAAUUGGAGACUCUCUCCAGCCCCUCCUCUCUGGCCUUUCUCCCUUUGCCGGGCCAGGAGAUCACCCUCACCUGAUCUCUUUGUUCUCUGACACCUUCAGUUGGCCUCUUUGCAGAGGAGGGGCCCAGGCCGUUAGUUGCCAGGAGAGAGUGUCGGCCAUUCUCUAUGCAGACAGUAUCACAGGGGCCCUCUAAGCUUUGGAAAAAUCAUACACCCUGAUCCCCCACACCUAGAUAUUUAAGAAAGGCGUAGGGGAAACUGAGGCACCCACACAGUAUUCAGAGAAAACAUUCAGAACAUUCCCACUUGGUCACAGUUGGGUACGAGGCUCUUUGGGAUCAAGGCUGGGGAAGGGACAGGAGUCUACUGAGCAAAGUGACUAUUUUGGGUGCAGUUACAAUGGGUCCCUUCUAGUUGCGGGUGUAAAGUAGUUGAGGGCGGAGCCAUGGGACACAGGAGCUGUGAAAUGAAGAGACUAUGCAACAUUGCAGAGAUGCUAAUUUACUUUGUUCUUCUCCUCUUUGCUGGGUUGAGUGCUGAGGAAAAAAGUCACACGUUAGAUUCUACUGCCCUUAUGCGAUGGAAAGCGAGUGAGAGGGAUGAGACUGCGAGCAGUGUUCAUGCCAGGCAAGAGUCAUUCAUCUGGGAGCUGAGCAGACACUACUGUCACUGAGAUAAAUGUCUGUUUUGCUGAGGGUUCUGCUUACGGCCCAGCUGACUGCUGGUACAGACACCCACUUAGCUAGGGCUGGGUUUGUAGGAAAAGGUUCCUGACUAGUGGUUAUGAGGGAGACCAGGUCCCCAUUUUCAGAGGCUGCUCAAUUCUCCGGCCAGGAUCGGUGUGUCUUCCGCAGGAGAAGGUUAGAUCCAUGAGGAUGACUCCAGAGGGUGAGUUGCUUGCCUUCCUCCUGUGUUUCUCCAACACACAUCCUCUCCCUCUCCCCUUUCCUCUCCUCGUGCUGUCUCCCUUCAUAGGACACGGGCAGGAGUGCUAGAUGUGUAUCCCCACAGCCUAGGUCUCAGGAGCUAUGAAGAAGUAGGAGGGGAUGAAAAUCAUGCAGCGUAGUGGGCACUAGAGUGGAGCAGUGACUGCGGAUGUUGAUUGUCUCUGUUCGAGUGGGGAUGAUGUGGAUGGGAUGGAAGAGGAAGGCAGGGAUGCGGGCAAGAUUUCAAGCACCAAUAGAGCUUUGUGUUGUGAUGGCUCAUGCUUGGCUUUUGUAGGUGCGCUUGCAAAGGAAUUGUUCUUCAGGAGCCCCAGCCCGGGGAGAAACUGGCAGAAGUGGACGUGAGCAGCCUGGACAUCCUUCUGAAGAGACAUGAACAGUCCUCGGCUUUCUCUCUCCUGCAUAACUACACUUCACUACUUUUAGGGGCACGGCUAAAGCCCAAGAUAAAUGCAGGGUAGAGGCUGAGUACAGACGAUUGCGUCCCUUUAGAUGGGUUUGGUUUCUUAUAAAAGUUUUCCUCGUUGUGGGUGCAGGAGGAGAAUUUCCCUAUCUUCUAAGCUGCUGAUCUUCCAGGACAGAGAGGAGCGGGUUCUUCUGAGCAGUGGCCUGCAACCAGGAAGGAGCCGUGUUUGCAGAGGGAUUGUCCAGGAGCCCAGACAGCGGAGAAACUGGAAGAAGUGAACCUGAGCAGCCUGGACAUCCUUGUAAGCAGAGAUGAAGAGUCCUCAGCUUUCUGCUUUCUCCAUGACUGGCUUACCACAGACAAAGAAGUCAAGGGCUAUGCAGAUGCCAUCGAGCUGGGAGUGGAGCAGACGUCACCAUUAGUGAGAUAAGUGUCUGGUUCGGUGAAGACUCUGCUAGCGGCCCACCUGCCUCCAGGCUGGGACUUCUCAUUAGCUGAGGCUCGGUUUGUAGGAAAAGAUUCCCGAGUAGCUGUCGUUGCGAGGGAGACAAGGUCCCCAUUUUCAGGGGCUGGUCAUUUCUCUGUUCACAAGCAGUGUGUCCUCUGCAGCAGAACGUUGGAUCCAGGGAGAUGACUCCAGCUGCUGCGCUGGCAGAGGAAUUGUCCAGGAGCCCUACCCGGAGGAGAGACGCUCAGAAGUGGACCUGAUCACCCUGAACAUCCUUCUAAACAGACAUGAACAGUCCUCAGCUUUCUUCCUCCUGCAUAAUUGGCUGUGAGUAAAUGUACCAAGAGAAAAGAAGUCACGCGUCAGAGUCUACUGUUCUCACACAAUGGAAAGGGAGCAAGAGUGACAAGACCAUGAGCAUUGUUGAUGCGAUGCAAAAGCUGUC